GGCUCAGGAUGAACGCUAGCGAUAGGCUUAACACAUGCAAGUCAGGGGCAGCAUGGUCUUAGCUUGCUAAGACUGAUGGCGACCGGCGCACGGGUGCGUAACGCGUAUGCAACUUGCCUCACAGAGGGGGAUAACCCGUCGAAAGACGGACUAAUACCGCGUACACUUAUCGGAGGGCAUCCUUUGGUAAGGAAAUGAAAUUCGCUGUGAGAUAGGCAUGCGUCCCAUUAGCUCGUUGGUGAGGUAACGGCUCACCAAGGCAACGAUGGGUAGGGGAACUGAGAGGUUGAACCCCCACACUGGUACUGAGACACGGACCAGACUCCUACGGGAGGCAGCAGUGAGGAAUAUUGGUCAAUGGGCGAGAGCCUGAACCAGCCAAGUCGCGUGAAGGAUGACUGUCUUAUGGAUUGUAAACUUCUUUUGUAGGGGAAUAAAGACUAGUACGUGUACUGGAGUGAAUGUACCCUACGAAUAAGCAUCGGCUAACUCCGUG
rnacentral:rRNA from 1 species